UACGAAGGGUGCAAGCGUUAAUCGGAAUUACUGGGCGUAAAGCGUGCGUAGGCGGUUGGCUAAGUCAGAUGUGAAAGCCCUGGGCUCAACCUGGGAAUGGCAUUUGAAACUGGCUGGCUAGAGUGUGAUAGAGGAUGGCGGAAUUCCCGGUGUAGCGGUGAAAUGCGUAGAGAUCGGGAGGAACAUCCGUGGCAAAGGCGGCCAUCUGGAUCAACACUGACGCUGAGGCACGAAAGCGUGGGGAGCAAACAGG
rnacentral:rRNA from 1 species